rnacentral:rRNA from 1 species
AGUGAACGCUGGCGGUAGGCCUAACACAUGCAAGUCGAACGGCAGCACAGUAAGAGCUUGCUCUUACGGGUGGCGAGUGGCGGACGGGUGAGGAAUACAUCGGAAUCUACUUUUUCGUGGGGGAUAACGUAGGGAAACUUACGCUAAUACCGCAUACGACCUACGGGUGAAAGCAGGGGAUCUUCGGACCUUGCGCGAUUGAAUGAGCCGAUGUCGGAUUAGCUAGUUGGCGGGGUAAAGGCCCACCAAGGCGACGAUCCGUAGCUGGUGUGAGAGGAUGAUAAGCCACACUGGAACGGAGACACGGUCCAGACUCCUACGGGAGGCAGCAGUGGGGAAUAUUGGACAAAGGGCGCAAGCCUGAUCCAGCCAUACCGCGUGGGUGAAGAAGGCCUUCGGGUUGUAAAGCCCUUUUGUUGGGAAAGAAAAGCAGCAGGUUAAUACCACGCUGUUCUGACGGUACCCAAAGAAUAAGCACCGGCUAACUUCGUG